CAUCAGGAGCCGCAAUAAUCACAGACACAGAGUGAAGUACAGAAGGGAAAUGAACACCAGCUCUCCUGUUUUUUCCCCUCUUGCUUGUACAUCAAGUAUUUAGAUUGUUUGGACAUAAAACCCAUGCUGAAGGAAAGGAAAAACUGGAAAUGGGAUGAAACACACAGGAAUUUGUUCAGGGUAGAUUAUGCCAAAUUAACAUAGUGGCUUUUUCUUUUUCCUGUAAGAUAACUGACCUUUUCAGACAAGUGGUGGUCCCUCCCCUCCCCUCACAGGCUGUUACAGCAGUAGCUGUGGCUCAGGCCUUUGCUGACAUGUUACCUUCCCCCUCAGGUGCCAUGAAUGAGGCAGAAACUCCAGUCAGGGCAGUGCUGCCUGGGAAUAACCUGUGGUGGUGAAUUCCUUCGAGGUGGUCCUUUCUCAACACUGCUCUUCAAGAAUAUGAUUUGCUGGGGUAAGAGACUUUCAGAUGCCAUCUCUGAUCCACUUCACCUGGUAGGCUCCUUAUUGGUAGUUACCUGUGAGCAACUCAGCCCUCAUCAUAUUCUCUGGAGUCCCCAUAUCCCCCUGAAGCAGUGUCAAACUUUGUCCAGAGCCUGAAUAGCAGCUGGAGCCAUCCUGCCUUGUAACAUGCAGGGGCUGACUCACUGCAAGCUUCAUGCACUGGUGGGAUGAUGGCCCUUCGAGUCAGUGUGUGCUUCCACACAGGACGUGUAGUCACUAUGAUUGCAUAGCUCAAGUGGGAAGGGUAACUCCCAAACCAUCCUCUUCUUCAUCCUUCUAGGUGUCUAUAUAGCAAAAUAUUUGGCACACUGGCCGUUCUUCCAAUCUUUCUGAAUUCUUCAUAUCACGUUUGCUCCUGAGUCACCUCUAAUCGACGCCACUCUUCAAAUGUUUACAACGGCUCUGGCGGCUGUGCUGAUACAGCGGAGAGCAGCAGUAACCAAAUGGAAAGAUUAAAUUCCUCAUGUGAAGGGUGAAGAAAUACCCUUACACAAGGCUGCCCCCGAAUCUGGUCUCCCUAUAAGUACAUCUCCCAUUUCCAGACACCAGAGGAGCACAGAGUUCAGCACUGACCACAGCUCAGCAUCUCUGUGCAGCUCCCUUUGACAUUAACAAGGGAUGCUACUGGGACAAAGUGAUUUUUCUAGGUACCUGUCACAUCCUGCAGACAUACAAAAAUCAUAAUGGUCUAGAUGUCAGAAGUAGAAAGGAGUUCAAUUGGUGAUCAGACAGCUUGGCAAAACGUGUUGACUUACAGGUUUGAAAUGUAGAGUGGAGGAUCCAGGCUCCAUCUGAGGACAUCUGGGGAGAUGCAGGGAAGGGAAUGGCACUGUUCACUUCUUGCCUUGGUGCCUGUGUGCCUUUUACUCUUUCCCUCAACAACAUCAGUCCUUGCCUUUGUGUAAGUCCUUGCCUCAGUGUUGCUUGCUUGUGGUAUGAAGAGCUUGGGAGAAGCAAUACAAACCCUGCUGUUGUGUCAGGCUUAAUGACCACUUACUGGCCCAUGCACUGUUGAGCAAAGAGACUCCCUCUUAAUGAAGGUCAGAGUAAAUAACAGUGUACAAAUGAUGUUUAAUGGCUCAAAGUGAUGCUGAGUCCUUUAAGAUCAAGGUAAAUGGUCUCUAAUUACACUUGGAUUUCUUCUUCCUCAAAUGAGAUCAACCAGUACACCAAGGAUCAAGUCCUUUCAGCCAGGGAAGAUAUUUAUAAGUAAAAAGAUACAUCAUUUUUAUUAAAAAUGAAAAAAAAAAACACUUUGUAAUCUCUGUGAAAUAGAGGUUACAACGAAUGGCUGUGGGGAUAAAUAAAUAGAGAUCAGUAAUACGCA
ensembl:lncRNA